ensembl:lncRNA
GUAAGUGCUCCCAGCUGUGUGCUAUGGUCCUCUUAAGUGGUGUCGUUAACUAUUUUGGAAGCGCUCUUCCGUGAGCCCCUCGAAUGAGGGCAAGGUCUUAGGCACCUGUGCAGCCGAGCUCAGAGACCCCCCCCCCCCAUAUGCCUUUCUGUGCUUUAUCUGGAACGAUCGAUACCCGAGGUCGGUUUUGGAAAGCGGCUUCCCGCGCUGAUCCGGUGCGGUGGGGACCUGAAGAUGCGCGGCAGCCUCCCGGACCACCGCGCGAUCCCUGGAAGGCCGGCGCGCCCAACCAGCCUCUUCCCCGACUUUCCCUCGCUGCUUGAGUUUUCUAGAGCCUCUUUCCCUUCCACUCUCAGUCUUCCCUUCCUUUCUAUGAGCUCUCGCGGGCUCCACAUUCAUUUUCUACUUUGAGUAGCCACGUCUCUUUCAACCCGCGCUCCCUCAACCCUUAAGUCAUCCAUUAAGUUCCUUUUUCACUUUUUUCUUCCAUCCCCCACGCCCUCGAUCUUUGGUUGCCAAUACUGAUCUUUCUUAGCUAGUGAUUGUAUUUCGCGUCUCUGCUCCUUAACCAAAGGCGCCCUAACCUCACGGCUCUCCAUGCCUCGGGUUUUCCCUCUUGGUCUCUCGCCUCCCAUCGUCAGGGCCAGACCUGAGCAGACACUUCACUGCCUGGCGAGCAAGACCGCUCCGCCACCUCCCAGCGGCGGGGCAGGAGCAAGUUAACAUCUUGAAAAGAUGGAAAAAUCUGCAGCGCCCCCUUAGGAGCAGCUUCCGGCAUCGGCCCUUAACCCUGGCCCGGGAAGGGAGCAGAGGUGGGAGGUGUGGGUGGGCAGAGCUGGGGAAACCGGAUCUCGUGUCGGUGUGACCGGCCCUGAAGGUUUUCUCUCCCAGGGUUUUCUUUCCCCUGUUCUUUCCCCCUCCCCCCUCUCUCCAGACAAAAAUACCCAGCAAUGUUUCUUUGGCUGCGCUGUCGACUUUCGCCUCCUAAUCUCGGUUAAAUCAACUCGGGAUCACUGAUGCAGUUUUCUCAUUAGUUCUGUGCACCUGCUGCUGCUGCUGCUGCUUCUAAGUCGAUUCAUUUGUGUCCGACUCUGUGCGACCCCAUAGACAGCAGCCCACCAGGCUCCUGCGUCCCUGGGAUUCUCCAAGCAAGAACACUGGAGUGGGUUGCCAUGUCCUUCUCCAGUGCAUGAAAGUGAAGAGUGAAAGUGAAGUCGCUCAGUUGUGUCCGACUCUUAGCGACUCCAUGGACUGCAGCCUACCAGGCUCCUCCGUCCAUGGGAUUUUCCAGGCAAGAGCACUGGAGUGGGGUGCCAUCGCCUUCUCCAUCUGUGCACCUAGGGCAAAGUAUUUACUUCUGUGAGCCUCAGUGUCCUUAUCUAUAUAGGAGGAAAAUCAAUUUAACCUGAGCUUCCUACCUUAUAGGUUGUUAUGAAAAUCAUAUGUGAUCAUAUAUGUUUAUAUAUGUAUGUAUAUAUGUAUAUUUAAUAUAUGUGUAUAUGUAUAUGAUAACACGUAGGAAUCAUAUAAGAUAACGUAUGUGUCAGUCAGGUUAGGCCAUGUUAUGCUGUGGAAACAAGACAAAAAUCUCAGUGAUCUAAGCAACACAAUUUUAUUUUUUGUUCAAAAUAAAAAACCAUAACAAAUCAGUUAGUGCUUAGCUUGUUAUCUCUUAGGAACCCAGAAUGACACAAUAGCCAUCAUCUCAAACAUUGUUAAUACCCAGAUACAGACGGAAAGAAGGGUCUAGAAGCAAUUAUAUCAUCUGCUUGGGACUGACACAUAUCACUUUAGUUCCUAAUUCAUUGACCUGAGCUAUUCAUAAGGCCCCAUCCAACCACAGCGAAAGCCUACUGUGGAAGAGACCUGGGACUAUACGGAGGACAGCAUUAACUACCACCACUCUUCAUGGGGGGAAGUUGUAAAUGGCAAAGUGCUUUACAGCUGAGAAGUGUAGAAGUAGACUGAGGAUUUCUAAUAAUUAGAGUCAACAUGAAUUCAUUUAAAAUCAGCACCGGUUUGUGAUUUAACCCUCUAAAGUGAACUUACUUGGAGGUCAUUAAUUUAAAUGGUAUGGAUAUAUUUCCUUGGAAUUACAGAAAACAUUGGCCCAGAGCUUCCAGAGAUGAAGCUUGACAUUUUACUUCACCCCAAGCUAGAUCAACGUUUUCCUAAUAUAUAGGUCUUUAGACAUUCACUGAAACGUCUAAUUAAAAAAUAUAUACAGGUGUGAUGUAACAAUAGAAUCUGUUUCUAUGCUCUUUAAGGAGCAAAAAUCGUCAGAAAUAAUUGCUGUAUAUAUCAUUUGUGGAUAAACCAGUCAUUUCCAAGAUUAAAUAGCAGUCAGAUAUAAGGGAGUAAGAAAGAGCCAAUUUUAGCUAAUAUUACAAAGUGGAAUGAAUAUACUAAAGUGCCAAUAACCUCUCUUUUGAGAAUAUUUUUCAUUGUGAAAUUAGGUCUCAGUUCAGGUGGACUCAUUUUGCUUAGGAUUUAAGAGCUGGGAUUGCAAAUUGGUGAGAGAUGACGAUGACCUGGGGCUUCCUUGUUAGCUCAGUGGUAGAG